rnacentral:rRNA from 1 species
GACGAACGCUGGCGGCGUGCCUAAUACAUGCAAGUUGAGCGCUGAAGGUUGGUACUUGUACCAACUGGAUGAGCAGCGAACGGGUGAGUAACGCGUGGGGAAUCUGCCUUUGAGCGGGGGACAACAUUUGGAAACGAAUGCUAAUACCGCAUAAAAACUUUAAACACAAGUUUUAAGUUUGAAAGAUGCAAUUGCAUCACUCAAAGAUGAUCCCGCGUUGUAUUAGCUAGUUGGUGAGGUAAAGGCUCACCAAGGCGAUGAUACAUAGCCGACCUGAGAGGGAGAGCAGCCAGACGGGAACUGAGAGACGGUCCAGACACCUAUGGCAGGCAGGAGUGGGGAAGAUGGGAGAAUGGGCGCAAGCGAAAUACAGCCAUACCGAGGAGGUGAAGAAGGACUAAGGGGUGUAAAACACGUUGGUGGGGAAAGAAAAACAGCAAGGGAAUACCCCGCUGUUCGGACGGGACCAAAAGAACAAGAACGGGAGAACCUGGGG